CUGAAGGUCUAAAAGUCAGAGACAGAAAACAAAGGCACAAGAGACCUAGACAAUGAGAGGGAUCUGACAGGAGAAAGUGAGAAAUAAGACAUGGAUGGAGAGAGACACAAAAAGAGUGAGCAGGGUAUGGAAAGAGAGAGCAAGAGAGUGGGUGAUGGUGUGGAAAUAGCCCUGUACGCACAACAGAGAUAUUUGGCUGGAAACAAGUGUGCAGUGUGUGUGUUUAAAAGCACGAGCCUUAGCUAUGAAGGAUAUGUAGGUGAACGGCUGAAUGGUGAGAUGGUGAGAGUCAAAUAUGCUAUGCUGCAAAAGAGCCAUUGUGGGACAUGCAAGAAAAUGGGGAAGAGUGAAAGUGAUGAUUGCCUGUUUGCAAAAUCUACCUGAAGGAGUGAAGGAUGAGAGAAGUGAUGGACUGAAUGUGCAUGAUGUGGAGAAGCAAGGCUGCUCCCUGUGGGCUAUGCGGCUAAAUCUAGUGAGCUAGAGUGUGACCAGUGUAUGAAAGGAGAAAUUACACGUUUGUGUGGUCAAGGGAUCAUCGAGUUGUAGAGGGGCAGAGAAGAGUUUAGGUCUAGUACUAAUAGAGCAUGAAUGAAUACAGAAGAGGCCGGGCCACUGUGAAAAAAGAAAAUGUGUGAGAAAAUGGGAGAUUGCUUGUAUGAACGUUUAAGACAAUGAGAGUUGAGUGACUAAAGAGAAAAAGAGUGGAAUGAGAAAUCCUGAUGGGGUGAAUGUGAGAAUGUGACACACAGAGACCAGAAAGACAGGAGUGAAAGAAGAGACCCAACCUCUGAUACUUGAAGGAAUAGUCAAAUUCAAUAAGAAAAAGGCGUGAAUGGUAAGAGGUGUGUAAGGAGAAAUGACUGAAUUUGAGCACAAAAGAAUGGAAGAAUGACUGGUGAGAUUGAAUGAAAGAGAAAUAUUUGGAGAGGGACAGUGAGGGAAGGAGAAAUGAAUGAGAGGAAAAGUCAACAGAGUGAUCUAAGUUUUAGAAAACGAGAUCAGCAGGGGAACAUUAUGGAUCUGAAGACUGAACGAGAUAGACUGCAUUGAUACUCAGGUAGGAAAAACCAAGCUACUGGUAGAAGAGGACCCAAGGCUGAAAGAGUUGGAUAAAUGAGGAAAGAGGCAAAGGGAAUGAGAGUUAUAUGGAAAUGGAGAUGUACUGAAUGAAAGGUUUAUAGCUGCAAAUCAGGAUACAAUGAAGUGAGUUGGAAAGCCCAAAAAGUAAAGUAGAGAAGGUGGAAACAUAGAGAUAGCUGAGCCUGUGAGAAGAUGAAGAUGCUGAAGAUUUAAUAAACAAUACUAGGAGGGAUAAGCUCAGGAAGCAGAGGCUAAAUCAAGAGAAGUAUGAGACAUGAUUGUAUCCUAGGAACCCUGAGUAUGAGAGAAAUCCCAGAGAGAUGGAAGGGAACAAGUGCAACAAGUAUAUAUAGAGAAAUUGUAUAUGCUGGUGGGUAUAUAGUGGGGGAUCAGAAUUGAAUGGAUGAAAAGAAGUACAGAGAGGAGCAUGGAGUAGGAAAAUGAGAGGAUGAUGAUGAGUGACCAAAUGGCAGACAGAAAGGAAUGAAUGGAGAGACCCAAACUCUGAUACAUUUAGUGACUGUCAAAUAUCAUUGAGAAGGAACACAUGAAUGGCAAGAAGUAUGUGGUGUGAGAUGGCUGAAGGGAGGAGCACAGGGAGGAGAAGCAAAAGUGAGGAGCCACAUGCAAAGAGAAAGAGUUAGCCACAGUGAGUGAGAGAGGGAGAUAAGUAUAUGUGUUGAGACUUGACUGGGGAAAAUGGAUGAAUUUAGAUACUUGAAGGAUGGGAAAGGAAUGGGUAAGGAGAUAUAAAAUUCACUGAGAAACCUGAAGGUCUAAAAGUCAGAGACAGAAAACAAAGGCACAAGAGACCUAGACAAUGAGAGGGAUCUGACAGGAGAAAGUGAGAAAUAAGACAUGGAUGGAGAGAGACACAAAAAGAGUGAGCAGGGUAUGGAAAGAGAGAGCAAGAGAGUGGGUGAUGGUGUGGAAAUAGCCCUGUACGCACAACAGAGAUAUUUGGCUGGAAACAAGUGUGCAGUGUGUGUGUUUAAAAGCACGAGCCUUAGCUAUGAAGGAUAUGUAGAUGAACGGCUGAAUGGUGAGAUGGUGAGAGUCAAAUAUGCUAUGCUGCAAAAGAGCCAUUGUGGGACAUGCAAGAAAAUGGGGAAGAGUGAAAGUGAUGAUUGCCUGUUUGCAAAAUCUACCUGAAGGAGUGAAGGAUGAGAGAAGUGAUGGACUGAAUGUGCAUGAUGUGGAGAAGCAAGGCUGCUCCCUGUGGGCUAUGCGGCUAAAUCUAGUGAGCUAGAGUGUGACCAGUGUAUGAAAGGAGAAAUUACACGUUUGUGUGGUCAAGGGAUCAUCGAGUUGUAGAGGGGCAGAGAAGAGUUUAGGUCUAGUACUAAUAGAGCAUGAAUGAAUACAGAAGAGGCCGGGCCACUGUGAAAAAAGAAAAUGUGUGAGAAAAUGGGAGAUUGCUUGUAUGAACGUUUAAGACAAUGAGAGUUGAGAGACUAAAGAGAAAAAGAGUGGAAUGAGAAAUCCUGAUGGGGUGAAUGUGAGAAUGUGACACACAGAGACCAGAAAGACAGGAGUGAAAGAAGAGACCCAACCUCUGAUACUUGAAGGAAUAGUCAAAUUCAAUAAGAAAAAGGAGUGAAUGGUAAGAGGUGUGUAAGGAGAAAUGACUGAAUUUGAGAGCACAAAAGAACGGAAGAAUGACUGGUGAGAUUGAAUGAAAGAGAAAUAUUUGGAGAGGGACAGUGAGGGAAGGAGAAAUGAAUGAGAGGAAAAGUCAACAGAGUGAUCUAAGUUUUAGAAAACGAGAACAUAAUGGAUCUGAAGACUGAACGAGAUAGACUGCAUUGAUACUCAGGUAGGAAAAACCAAGCUACUGGUAGAAGAGGACCCAAGGCUGAAAGAGUUGGAUAAAUGAGGAAAGAAGCAAAGGGAAUGAGAGUUAUAUGGAAAUGGAGAUGUACUGAAUGAAAGGUUUAUAGCUGCAGAUCAGGAUACAAUGAAGUGAGUUGGAAAGCCCAAAAAGUAAAGUAGAGAAGGUGGAAACAUAGAGAUAGCUGAGCCUGUGAGAAGAUGAAGAUGCUGAAGAUUUAAUAAACAAUACUAGGAGGGAUAAGCUCAGGAAGCAGAGGCUAAAUCAAGAGAAGUAUGAGACAUGAUUGUAUCCUAGGAACCCUGAGUAUGAGAGAAAUCCCAGAGAGAUGGAAGGGAACAAGUGCAACAAGUAUAUAUAGAGAAAUUGUAUAUGCUGGUGGGUAUAUAGUGGGGGAUCAGAAUUGAAUGGAUGAAAAGAAGUACAGAGAGGAGCGUGGAGUAGGAAAAUGAGAGGAUGAUGAUGAGUGACCAAAUGGCAGACAGAAAGGAAUGAAUGGAGAGACCCAAACUCUGAUACAUUGAGUGACUGUCAAAUGUCAUUGAGAAGGAACACAUGAAUGGCAAGAAGUAUGUGGUGUGAGAUGGCUGAAGGGAGGAGCACAGGGAGGAGAAGCAAAAGUAAGGAGCCACAUGGAAAGAGAAAGAGUUAGCCACAGUGAGUGAGAGAGGGAGAUAAGUAUAUGUGUUGAGACUUGACUGGGGAAAAUGGAUGAAUUUAGAUACUUGAAGGAUGGGAAAGGAAUGGGUAAGGAGAUAUAAAAUUCACUGAGAAACCUGAAGGUCUAAAAGUCAGAGACAGAAAACAAAGGCACAAGAGACCUAGACAAUGAGAGGGAUCUGACAGGAGAAAGUGAGAAAUAAGACAUGGAUGGAGAGAGACACAAAAAGAGUGAGCAGGGUAUGGAAAGAGAGAGCAAGAGAGUGGGUGAUGGUGUGGAAAUAGCCCUGUACGCACAACAGAGAUAUUUGGCUGGAAACAAGUGUGCAGUGUGUGUGUUUAAAAGCACGAGCCUUAGCUAUGAAGGAUAUGUAGGUGAACGGCUGAAUGGUGAGAUGGUGAGAGUCAAAUAUGCUAUGCUGCAAAAGAGCCAUUGUGGGACAUGCAAGAAAAUGGGGAAGAGUGAAAGUGAUGAUUGCCUGUUUGCAAAAUCUACCUGAAGGAGUGAAGGAUGAGAGAAGUGAUGGACUGAAUGUGCAUGAUGUGGAGAAGCAAGGCUGCUCCCUGUGGGCUAUGCGGCUAAAUCUAGUGAGCUAGAGUGUGACCAGUGUAUGAAAGGAGAAAUUACACGUUUGUGUGGUCAAGGGAUCAUCGAGUUGUAGAGGGGCAGAGAAGAGUUUAGGUCUAGUACUAAUAGAGCAUGAAUGAAUACAGAAGAGGCCGGGCCACUGUGAAAAAAGAAAAUGUGUGAGAAAAUGGGAGAUUGCUUGUAUGAACGUUUAAGACAAUGAGAGUUGAGUGACUAAAGAGAAAAAGAGUGGAAUGAGAAAUCCUGAUGGGGUGAAUGUGAGAAUGUGACACACAGAGACCAGAAAGACAGGAGUGAAAGAAGAGACCCAACCUCUGAUACUUGAAGGAAUAGUCAAAUUCAAUAAGAAAAAGGCGUGAAUGGUAAGAGGUGUGUAAGGAGAAAUGACUGAAUUUGAGCACAAAAGAAUGGAAGAAUGACUGGUGAGAUUGAAUGAAAGAGAAAUAUUUGGAGAGGGACAGUGAGGGAAGGAGAAAUGAAUGAGAGGAAAAGUCAACAGAGUGAUCUAAGUUUUAGAAAACGAGAUCAGCAGGGGAACAUUAUGGAUCUGAAGACUGAACGAGAUAGACUGCAUUGAUACUCAGGUAGGAAAAACCAAGCUACUGGUAGAAGAGGACCCAAGGCUGAAAGAGUUGGAUAAAUGAGGAAAGAGGCAAAGGGAAUGAGAGUUAUAUGGAAAUGGAGAUGUACUGAAUGAAAGGUUUAUAGCUGCAAAUCAGGAUACAAUGAAGUGAGUUGGAAAGCCCAAAAAGUAAAGUAGAGAAGGUGGAAACAUAGAGAUAGCUGAGCCUGUGAGAAGAUGAAGAUGCUGAAGAUUUAAUAAACAAUACUAGGAGGGAUAAGCUCAGGAAGCAGAGGCUAAAUCAAGAGAAGUAUGAGACAUGAUUGUAUCCUAGGAACCCUGAGUAUGAGAGAAAUCCCAGAGAGAUGGAAGGGAACAAGUGCAACAAGUAUAUAUAGAGAAAUUGUAUAUGCUGGUGGGUAUAUAGUGGGGGAUCAGAAUUGAAUGGAUGAAAAGAAGUACAGAGAGGAGCAUGGAGUAGGAAAAUGAGAGGAUGAUGAUGAGUGACCAAAUGGCAGACAGAAAGGAAUGAAUGGAGAGACCCAAACUCUGAUACAUUUAGUGACUGUCAAAUAUCAUUGAGAAGGAACACAUGAAUGGCAAGAAGUAUGUGGUGUGAGAUGGCUGAAGGGAGGAGCACAGGGAGGAGAAGCAAAAGUGAGGAGCCACAUGCAAAGAGAAAGAGUUAGCCACAGUGAGUGAGAGAGGGAGAUAAGUAUAUGUGUUGAGACUUGACUGGGGAAAAUGGAUGAAUUUAGAUACUUGAAGGAUGGGAAAGGAAUGGGUAAGGAGAUAUAAAAUUCACUGAGAAACCUGAAGGUCUAAAAGUCAGAGACAGAAAACAAAGGCACAAGAGACCUAGACAAUGAGAGGGAUCUGACAGGAGAAAGUGAGAAAUAAGACAUGGAUGGAGAGAGACACAAAAAGAGUGAGCAGGGUAUGGAAAGAGAGAGCAAGAGAGUGGGUGAUGGUGUGGAAAUAGCCCUGUACGCACAACAGAGAUAUUUGGCUGGAAACAAGUGUGCAGUGUGUGUGUUUAAAAGCACGAGCCUUAGCUAUGAAGGAUAUGUAGAUGAACGGCUGAAUGGUGAGAUGGUGAGAGUCAAAUAUGCUAUGCUGCAAAAGAGCCAUUGUGGGACAUGCAAGAAAAUGGGGAAGAGUGAAAGUGAUGAUUGCCUGUUUGCAAAAUCUACCUGAAGGAGUGAAGGAUGAGAGAAGUGAUGGACUGAAUGUGCAUGAUGUGGAGAAGCAAGGCUGCUCCCUGUGGGCUAUGCGGCUAAAUCUAGUGAGCUAGAGUGUGACCAGUGUAUGAAAGGAGAAAUUACACGUUUGUGUGGUCAAGGGAUCAUCGAGUUGUAGAGGGGCAGAGAAGAGUUUAGGUCUAGUACUAAUAGAGCAUGAAUGAAUACAGAAGAGGCCGGGCCACUGUGAAAAAAGAAAAUGUGUGAGAAAAUGGGAGAUUGCUUGUAUGAACGUUUAAGACAAUGAGAGUUGAGAGACUAAAGAGAAAAAGAGUGGAAUGAGAAAUCCUGAUGGGGUGAAUGUGAGAAUGUGACACACAGAGACCAGAAAGACAGGAGUGAAAGAAGAGACCCAACCUCUGAUACUUGAAGGAAUAGUCAAAUUCAAUAAGAAAAAGGAGUGAAUGGUAAGAGGUGUGUAAGGAGAAAUGACUGAAUUUGAGCACAAAAGAAUGGAAGAAUGACUGGUGAGAUUGAAUGAAAGAGAAAUAUUUGGAGAGGGACAGUGAGGGAAGGAGAAAUGAAUGAGAGGAAAAGUCAACAGAGUGAUCUAAGUUUUAGAAAACGAGAUCAGCAGGGGAACACAAUGGAUCUGAAGACUGAACGAGAUAGACUGCAUUGAUACUCAGGUAGGAAAAACCAAGCUACUGGUAGAAGAGGACCCAAGGCUAAAAGAGUUGGAUAAAUGAGGAAAGAAGCAAAGGGAAUGAGAGUUAUAUGGAAAUGGAGAUGUACUGAAUGAAAGGUUUAUAGCUGCAAAUCAGGAUACAAUGAAGUGAGUUGGAAAGCCCAAAAAGUAAAGUAGAGAAGGUGGAAACAUAGAGAUAGCUGAGCCUGUGAGAAGAUGAAGAUGCUGAAGAUUUAAUAAACAAUACUAGGAGGGAUAAGCUCAGGAAGCAGAGGCUAAAUCAAGAGAAGUAUGAGUCAUGAUUGUAUCCUAGGAACCCUGAGUAUGAGAGAAAUCCCAGAGAGAUGGAAGGGAACAAGUGCAACAAGUAUAUAUAGAGAAAUUGUAUAUGCUGGUGGGUAUAUAGUGGGGGAUCAGAAUUGAAUGGAUGAAAAGAAGUACAGAGAGGAGCGUGGAGUAGGAAAAUGAGAGGAUGAUGAUGAGUGAAAUGGCAGACAGAAAGGAAUGAAUGGAGAGACCCAAACUCUGAUACAUUGAGUGACUGUCAAAUGUCAUUGAGAAGGAACACAUGAAUGGCAAGAAGUAUGUGGUGUAAGAUGACUGAAUGGAGGAGCACAGGGAGAAGUAAUACUGAGGAGACACAUCAAAAAAGAAAUAGUUAUGAGGGUACCUCAGAGAGGGAGAUAGGUAUACAUGUUGAGACCUGGACUGGGGGAAAUGGAUGAAUUUAGAUACUUGAAGGAUGAGAAAGGAAUGGGUAAAUAGAUCUAAAACUCACUGAGAAACCUGAAGGUCUAAAAGUCAGAGACAGAAAACAAAGGCACAAGAGACCUAGACAAUGAGAGGGAUCUGACAGGAGAAAGUGAGAAAUAAGACAUGGAUGGAGAGAGACACAAAAAGAGUGAGCAGGGUAUGGAAAGAGAGAGCAAGAGAGUGGGUGAUGUGUGGAAAUAGCCCUGUACGCACAACAGAGAUAUUUGGCUGGAAACAAGUGUGCAGUGUGUGGGUUUAAAAGCACGAGCCUUAGCUAUGAAGGAUAUGUAGAUGAACGGCUGAAUGGUGAGAUGGUGAGAGUCAAAUAUGCUAUGCUGCAAAAGAGCCAUUGUGGGACAUGCAAGAAAAUGGGGAAGAGUGAAAGUGAUGAUUGCCUGUUUGCAAAAUCUACCUGAAGGAGUGAAGGAUGAGAGAAGUGAUGGACUGAAUGUGCAUGAUGUGGAGAAGCAAGGCUGCUCCCUGUGGGCUAUGCGGCUAAAUCUAGUGAGCUAGAGUGUGACCAGUGUAUGAAAGGAGAAAUUACACGUUUGUGUGGUCAAGGGAUCAUCGAGUUGUAGAGGGGCAGAGAAGAGUUUAGGUCUAGUACUAAUAGAGCAUGAAUGAAUACAGAAGAGGCCGGCCACUGUGAAAAAAGAAAAUGUGUGAGAAAAUGGGAGAUUGCUUGUAUGAACGUUUAAGACAAUGAGAGUUGAGAGACUAAAGAGAAAAAGAGUGGAAUGAGAAAUCCUGAUGGGGUGAAUGUGAGAAUGUGACACACAGAGACCAGAAAGACAGGAGUGAAAGAAGAGACCCAACCUCUGAUACUUGAAGGAAUAGUCAAAUUCAAUAAGAAAAAGGAGUGAAUGGUAAGAGGUGUGUAAGGAGAAAUGACUGAAUUUGAGCACAAAAGAAUGGAAGAAUGACUGGUGAGAUUGAAUGAAAGAGAAAUAUUUGGAGAGGGACAGUGAGGGAAGGAGAAAUGAAUGAGAGGAAAAUUCAACAGAGUGAUCUAAGUUUUAGAAAACGAGAUCAGCAGGGGAACAUAAUGGAUCUGAAGACUGAACGAGAUAGACUGCAUUGAUACUCAGGUAGGAAAAACCAAGCUACUGGUAGAAGAGGACCCAAGGCUGAAAGGGUUGGAUAAAUGGGGAAAGAGGCAAAGGGAAUGAAAGUUAUAUGGAAAUGGAGAUGUACUGAAUGAAAGGUUUAUAGCUGCAGAUCAGGAUACAAUGAAGUGAGUUGGAAAGCCCAAAAAGUAAAGUAGAGAAGGUGGAAACAUAGAGAUAGCUGAGCCUGUGAGAAGAUGAAGAUGCUGAUGAUUUAAUAAACAAUACUAGGAGGGAUAAGCUCAGGAAGCAGAGGCUAAAUCAAGAGAAGUAUGAGACAUGAUUGUAUCCUAGGAACCCUGAGUAUGAGAGAAAUCCCAGAGAGAUGGAAGGGAACAAGUGCAACAAGUAUAUAUAGAGAAAUUGUAUAUGCUGGUGGGUAUAUAGUGGGGGAUCAGAAUUGAAUGGAUGAAAAGAAGUACAGAGAGGAGCAUGGAGUAGGAAAAUGAGAGGAUGAUGAUGAGUGACCAAAUGGCAGACAGAAAGGAAUGAAUGGAGAGACCCAAACUCUGAUACAUGAGUGACUGUCAAGUCUCAAUAAGAAGGAACAAUGAAUGGCAAGAAGUAUGUGGUGUGAGAUGGCUGAAUGGAGGAGCACAUGGAAGAGAAGCAAAACUGAGGAGCCACAUGCAAAGAGAGUUAGCCAGAGUGUGUGAGAGAGGGAGAAAGGAAUCCAUGUUAACGCCUAGACUGGGGGAAAUAGAUGAACUUAGACACUUGAAGGAUGGGAAAGAAAUGGGGAAAGAGAUAUAAAGAGCAGUGAACCAUGCAUGUCUAAAACUCAGAGAGGAAAAGGAAGAUGAUCCUAGAAAUUUAGAGAGGUCUGAAUGGAGACAGUGAGAAAUAAGACAUGGAUGGAGAGAGACAGAAAAAGAAUGAGAAAUGUAUGGAAAGAGAGAGCAAGUGAGUGUGUAAUAAUUGAAAGAAAUCUGUACACAAGAGAUACUUGGUUGAAAAUAAGUGCCAGUGUGUAUGUGAAAGUAGGAACCAAAGCCAUUAAGGAUGAUUAACUGCGAAGUAUCAAAACCAUAAAAGGAUGAAAGAUGAAAGUGAAAUAUGUUAUGCUGUUUAAGAGCCAUUGGAGAACAUGCAAGUAAAUGGUGAAGUGAUGAUUGAGUGAAGGAUGAGAGAAGCGAUGUACUGAAUGAGCGUGUUGCGGAGAGACAAAGCUGUCCCCUGGAGACUGUGUGGCUAAAUCUAAUAAGCUCGAUUGUGUCCGAUGUAUGAAAGGAGAAACUCCAGGCUUGUGUGGUUAAAGUAUCAUUGAGUUAUUGGGGGGCAGAGAAGUGUUUAGAUCUAGUACUAAUACAGCAUGAAUGAAUACAGAAGAGGCCGGGCCACUGUGAAAAAAGAAUGAGUGAGAAAAUGUAAGAUUCCUGUUACAAAAGAUCAAGAGUGUGAGACGUGUGAAAGUGGAAAUGCUCUGGAGUGAGAAUGCCUGUGUAAAGAUAUGUAUCACUACACAAAAACAAGAAAGCAGAAUGGGGAGCACUCAAGGAUGGGCUGCUGAGCAAAGGAAGAAAGCCAAGAUUUGAGAGGACAAGGAAAUAGAGUAGCUCUAGGGGACCACUGAGGUAAAGACAGGUGUAUGUUGAUAGGGACUAGUGAGGUGUGACUGCUACACAUAUCAUUAGGGAGUCACACAUUUCUGGAAAAUAAUAUGUUGAAUGGGACUUGUAUGUAUGGAGCAAGGGCAACUGUGUGUGAUGAAUAAUUGGUCAUACGGACAAGAUGAAAGAUGGGUGGCUAAUGAGAAAGAGAGGAGAGUGGACUGAUAAAUCCACAUGGCAUGAAUGUGAGAAUGUGAGACGCAGAGCCCACAAAGAAAGGAGUGAAAGGAGAGACCCAACCUCUGAUACUUGAAGGGACAGUCAAAUUUUAAUAAGAAAAAAGCAUGAAUGAAAAGAGAAGGCAAUGUGAGAUGACUGAAUGGGGAGCAACAGAAAAAGAAGAAUGGUUGGUGAGAUUAAAUGAAAGAAAAACAUUGGGAGAAGAACAGUAAGAGAAGGGGAAAUUAAUGUGAAUAAAAGGCAAAAGAGUGAAAGGUAUAGCAAAGGAGAUACACCUGCAGGGGAGCCCAAAUGUAUACAUAGGCUAAAGAAGGUAGAUUGUGCUGAUAUUAAGGUAGGAAAAGGCAAGAUACUAUCUGAAGUUGACCCAAGACUGAAAUAGUUAGAAGAAUGGGAAAAGGGAAAACAAUGGAUGGAGAGAGGGGGAAAGUGAGAGACCUUUGUAGAUAUGGAGAUGUAUUGAAUGAAAGAGUUGUUCCUGAAGCUCAUGGGACAGGAAGGUGGGCUGGAAUUAAAUAGGAUUUAAUAAGAAUUAAAUAGGAGUUUAAAAGAAUUAAAUAGGAAAGGUGGAGAAAAGAGCGAUAGCCAAAGCUAUGAGAAGGUCAAGAGGCUGAAGAUUUAAUAAGCAGUAUGAGAGAUGAUGUCAUAGAAAAAAUCCGAGAGAGAGAGAGAGAGAGAGAGAGAGAGAGAGAGAGAGAGAGAGAGAGAGAAGGCCCAGACUCAUGGAAGGGAACAAAUGGGACAUGUAGGCAUACAGAUAUUGAGGGAUGAAUGGACAUCCUGGAGUGGCAAAAGUAAGUAGAUGCAGAAAAAUUGGGAGAGGAGAGUGGAGUGAGAAAAUGAGAGAGCAAGAAGAUGAGGAUGAGUGACUGAAUGGCAGAAGCAAAGAAUGAAUGGAGAGACCCAAACUCUGAUACAUGAAUGACUGUCAAAUCUCGUUGAGAAGGAACGCAUGAAUGUCAAGAAGUUUGUGGUGUGGGAUGACUGAACUGAGGAGUACAAGGAGGAAAAGCAAAACUGAGGAGACAAAUCCAAAGAGAAAUAGUUAGCCACAGUGACAGAGAGAGGGAGAAAGGAAUGAUCCAUGUUGAGAACUAGACUGUGGGGAAUAGAUGAAUUUAGACACUUAAGGGAUGGGAAAGGAAUGGGGAAAGAAGUAUAAGGAGCUGAGAACCCAGAGACAGGAAAUAAAGGAAAGAUGAACCUAGACAGUGAGAAAGGUCUGAAUGGAGACAGUAAGAAAUAAGAGAUGGAUGGAGAGAGACACCAGAAGUGUGAGCAAUGUAUGGGAAGAGAGACCAAGAGAGUGUGUCAUGUACUGAAAGAGAAUCAUAUGCAAGAAAAAGAUACUUGGCUGGAAAAAACUGUACUUUGCUGUGCGUGUGAAAGCAGAAGCCUAAACCCUAAAGGAUGAACAGCUGAAAAACAGCAAAACCAUGAAAGGUGAGAGAGUGAGAAUCAAGUAUGCUUGGAGAACAUGCAAGAAUAUAAUGAAGAGUGAAAGUACUGAUUGGCCAUUUAGAAAAUCUACCUGAAGGAGUGCAAGAUGAGAGAAGUGAGGUAUUGAAUAAGUGUGGUGUGGAAAGACAAAGCUUGCCCCUGGGGUCUGUGCGGCAAAAUCCAGUAAGCUCGAUUGUGUCCGAUGUAUCAAAGGAGAAACUUCUUGUGUGUGUGUGGUCAAGGGAUGAUUGAGCUGUAGAGGGGCAAAGAAGAGUUUAUGUCUAGUACUAAUAGAGUAUGAAUGAAUACCGAAGAGGCCGGGCCACUGUGAAAAUAGAGAGUGAGAAAAUGUGAGACUGCUGGUAUGAAAGGUCAAGAGUGUGAGAUGUGAGAGGAUGGAAAUGUUCUGGAGUGAGAGGUGCCUGUGUCAAGAGUCCUGCCAAGUCAAUGAAGUGUGAAAGCAGAAUGGGAAGCAAUACAGGAUGGGUUGCAGAUGAAAAGGAAAAAGAAAAGAUUUGAGAGGACAAGGAGACCGAGUGGCUCUAGGGAAACAUUGAGGUAGACACAGGUACAUGUUGAUAGGGCCUAGUGGGAUGUAGCUGCUACAAAUACCACCUGAGUGUCAGACAUUUGUGUGAAGUAAGAUGUUGAAUGGGACUUGGAUGUGUACAGCAAGGGCGACUCUGAGUGAUGGACAGUUGGCCAUAUGCAGAAGAUGAGAGAUGAGUGGCUAAAGAGAAAGAGAGAGGAGAGUGGACUGAGAAAUCCAAAUGGACUGAAGGUGAGAAUGUGAGACUCGGAGGCCAAAAGACAAGAGUGAAAUGAGAGACCCAAUCUCUGAUACUUGAGGGGACAGUCAAGUUCCAAUAAGAAAGAAGGAUGAAUGGAACGAGGAAUGCAAUGUGAGAUGACUGAAUGGGGGAGCAUGAAAGAAAGAAUGAUCUGUGAGAUUGAAUGAAAGAAAAACAUUGAGAGAAGAACAGUGAGAGAAGGAGAAAUUAAUGGGAAUAAAAGGCAACAGAGUGAAAUGUGUAGAAAAGGAGAUAUACUUGCCAGGGAACCCAAUGGAUACUUAAAUAAAGAAGGUAGAUCACAGUGAUAUACAGGUAGUAAAAGCCAAGAUACAAUUAGAAGAGAACCUCAGAAUAAAAGAGUUAGAUGAACUGGGAAAGAAGCAAAGUUAACACUGGAUGGAAAGUGAGUAAGAGAUAUCUAGAAAUGGAGAUGUAUUGAAUGGGAGAUUUGUAGCUGCAGAUCAUGAGACAGUGAGGUGAGUUGGAAACCCCAAAAAGUAAUGUGGGAAAAGUGGAGAAACAGAGAUAGCUGAGACUGUUACAAGGUCAAACUGCUGAAGAAUUAAUAAUAUUGAGAGGGAUAAACUCAAGGAGAGGAAGCUGAAUCAAAACUCUAUGAGAGAUGAUUAUGUCCUAGGAAUAAUCCUUGAGGGAGACAGAAGGGAAUAAGUGGGGCAUGUAUGCAAACAGAUAUUGAGGCAUAAAUGGAUAAUCAGCUGAGUCAAAAUUGAAUGAAGAACAGUUGGGAGAGGAGAGUGGAGUGAGAAAAUAAGAGAGUGAGAAGAUGAGGAUGGGUGACUGAAUGGCAGAAUUAAUGAAAGAAUGUAGAGACCCAAACUCUGAUACAUGAGUGACUGUCAAAUCUCAAUGAGAAGAAAUGUAUGAAUGGCAAGGAGUAUGUGGUGUGAGAUGGCUGAGUUGAGGAACACAAGGAGAGAUGCAAAACUGAGGCAUCACAUCCAAAGAGAGUUAGCCACAGUGACUGACAGAGAGAGAAAGGAAUCCAUGUUGAAACCUAGACCGUGGGAAAUAGAUGAAUUUAGAUACAUGAGGGAUGGGAAAGGAAUGGGGAAAGAGGUAGAAGGAGUUGAGAACCCUGAAGGUCUAAAAGUCAGAGACAGAAAACAAAGGCUCGAGAGACCUAGACAAUGAGAGGGAUCUGACUGGAGAAAGUGAGAAAUAAGACGCGGAUGGAAAGAGACACAAAAAAGAAUGAGCAAUGUGUGCAAAGAGAGAAUAGAGUACAUAAUGUAUGGAAAGAAAUAACAAGAGAGCGUGUAAUGUAUUGAAAGAGAC